GAGUUUGAUUCUGGCUCAGAUUGAACGCUGGCGGCAUGCCUUACACAUGCAAGUCGAACGGCAGCACGGGAGCAAUCCUGGUGGCGAGUGGCGAACGGGUGAGUAAUAUAUCGGAACGUGCCCAGUAGUGGGGGAUAACUGCUCGAAAGAGCAGCUAAUACCGCAUACGACCUGAGGGUGAAAGGGGGGGAUCGCAAGACCUCUCGCUAUUGGAGCGGCCGAUAUCAGAUUAGCUAGUUGGUGGGGUAAAGGCCUACCAAGGCAACGAUCUGUAGUUGGUCUGAGAGGACGACCAGCCACACUGGGACUGAGACACGGCCCAGACUCCUACGGGAGGCAGCAGUGGGGAAUUUUGGACAAUGGGCGCAAGCCUGAUCCAGCAAUGCCGCGUGCAGGAAGAAGGCCUUCGGGUUGUAAACUGCUUUUGUCAGGGAAGAAAUCCUCUAGGUUAAUACCCUUGGGGGGAUGACGGUACCUGAAGAAUAAGCACCGGCUAACUACGUGCCAGCAGCCGCGGUAAUACGUAGGGUGCAAGCGUUAAUCGGAAUUACUGGGCGUAAAGCGUGCGCAGGCGGCUUUGCAAGA
rnacentral:rRNA from 1 species